UUGGAGCCGCGCCGCCG
rnacentral:misc_RNA from 1 species